AACAAAAACACGCUUCCGUCCCACGUCUCUCCAGCACAUUGACAACUACCCACUACCUCCUCCCUUCUCUCUCUCUCUCUCUAUAUCUAAACCCCGCGUCCCACCGGCGUCACUCCCACCGGCGUUACUCCCACGCUUCCCCGCGCUCUCGCACCCAAACGCUAACCUCAUUCGGUCAUUCCACACCUAACCAGAACUCGGAACCCCUAACCACCGCGCUCAAUGUCGAUCGAAGACGACGAAGAAUCGCUCGAGCACACUCUCCUCGUCGUCCGCGAGGUCUCCGUCUUCAAGAUCCCACCACGGUCCACCUCGGGCGGCUACAAGUGCGGCGAGUGGCUCCAGUCCGACAAGAUCUGGACCGGCCGCCUCCGCGUCGUCUCCCGCCACGACCGCUGCGAGAUCCGCCUCGAGGACCCCAGCGCCGCCUUCGGAGAGGAACUCUUCGCCGCCUGCUUCGUCUACCCCGGCCAGCGUGAGGCCUCCGUCGAGCCCGUGCUCGACUCGUCCAGGUAUUUUGUUUUGAGGAUCGAGGACGGGAGGGGGAAGCACGCCUUCAUCGGGCUAGGGUUUGGGGAGAGGAACGAGGCGUUUGAUUUCAACGUGGCGUUGUCGGAUCACGAGAAGUACGUGAAGAGGGAGGGUGAGAAGGAGGAGGAGAGUGAAGAUGGGCAGAUUGAUAUUCAUCCCGCUGUGAAUCAUAGACUCAAGGAAGGUGAAACCAUCCGAAUAAAUGUGAAGAAUAAGUCAUCUGCUGGUACUGGCAUGCUUUCAGCUGCUGGUUUAUCUGGAGGGCUAUCUGGAACAGCAAAGCCUAAAGCUCUGAGCCUUUCCCCUCCACCUGUUGGGGGUGGAAAAAUAAGGUCUCCUCUACCACCCCCACCUAAUGAUCCUGUUGCUGCUCGGAUGACUUCCACGAGUCAUGGUGUUGGUCUCAAGGGGACCAAGGAGAAUGUGAGACGAUCUACUGAUCCUCUUUCAGAUCUCUCUCAAUUAGAGAGGAACCUUCCUUCUACAGCUGGAUCAGCAUCGACAAAGACUAGUGCAGCUGGAUGGGCAGCAUUUUAAUUGUGUCAUGAAUAUGAUUGAAAUCUUUGUUUGCUGUUAUGCUGAGAAAGAAAAGAAAAUCAAACAAAUGAAAGAGAAUUCAAGUUGACUGAUGCAAAUUACCACCAACACAUCUGGGGCGGCCCCAUCUAUUUGGCCGAAGAUAAACCUAGUUUGGUUAAAUCAGCCUGAUUCAAGUAUCACGGGUAGUUCUGUGGGUUUGUUUCUUUAACAUUGCUUCGGGUAUUGUGGCAAAAAUGUAUUACCAUGGUCAUGUGGGCUAACAACUCAUUUCUUUCCCCCAAUUUGUCUGGCACAAAAACCCUGGAGAUGAAUUGUAUUGCGUGUCGUGCUUAGAUCA